UUCAUAGCGGAGGAAAAGAAACUAACAAGGAUUCCCCUAGUAACUGCGAGUGAAGCGGGAAAAGCUCAAAUUUAAAAUCUGGUGGUCUUUGACCAUCCGAGUUGUAAUUUAGAGAAGCGUCUUCUGCGCUGGACCGUGCGUAAGUCUCCUGGAAUGGAGCGUCAUAGAGGGUGAGAAUCCCGUCUUUGGCAUGGAUCCCAGGGCUUCUGUGAUGCGCUCUCAAAGAGUCGAGUUGUUUGGGAAUGCAGCUCAAAAUGGGUGGUGAACUCCAUCUAAAGCUAAAUAUUGGCGAGAGACCGAUAGCGAACAAGUACCGUGAGGGAAAGAUGAAAAGCACUUUGGAAAGAGAGUGAAACAGUACGUGAAAUUGUUGAAAGGGAAACGCUUGAAGUCAGUCGCGUNGACCGAGACUCAGCCUUGCCUUGGCUUGGUGUACUUCUCGGCUGACGGGUCAGCAUCAAUUUUGAUCCUUGGAUAAUGGCAAGGGAAAGGUAGCACCUUUACAGGUGUGUUAUAGUCCUCUGUCGGAUGCAAGGGUUGGGAUUGAGGAACUCAGCACGCACCCUAUUGGUGUCGGGGCCUUGGCCUACGUUACGUGCUUAGGAUGUUGGCAUAAUGGCUUUAAACGACCCGUCUUGAAACACGGACCAAGGAGUCUAACAUGCCCGCGAGUGUUCGGGUGGAAAACCCGUGCGCGUAAUGAAAGUAAAAGUUGGGACCUCUGUCGUGGAGGGCACCGACGCCCGGACCAGACCUUCUGUGACGGCUCUGCGGUAGAGCGUGUAUGUUGGGACCCGAAAGAUGGUGAACUAUGCCUGAAUAGGGUGAAGCCAGAGGAAACUCUGGUGGAGGCUCGUAGCGAUUCUGACGUGCAAAUCGAUCGUCAAAUUUGGGUAUAGGGGCGAAAGACUAAUCGA
rnacentral:rRNA from 1 species